GUACCAAAAGUUAUUUUGGGGAAAAGGUUUUUCUAAUAACCUUUACCAGUUUGGGCUAUUUGGGAGAGUAACGUAAAGACCACACUCCACAGUGGACUAUAUCUGUUAACUUGUAGUUCACUACUAUUUUGUGGCCUACAUU